rfam:Acyrthosiphon pisum strain LSR1 Contig20849, whole genome shotgun sequence.
AAAACGGUCCUUUUCAGGACCAUCAAUCGGAGUAAUAAUAUAAAU